UGCAAGUCGAACGAACCUUCGGGUUAGUGGCGGACGGGUGAGUAACGCGUGAGAAUCUGCCCUCAGGAGGGGGAUAACGGCUGGAAACGGCCGCUAAUACCCCAUAUGCCGAGAGGUGAAAUGAAUUUCGCCUGAGGAUGAGCUCGCGUCUGAUUAGCUAGUUGGUGGGGUAAGAGCCUACCAAGGCUUCGAUCAGUAGCUGGUCUGAGAGGAUGAUCAGCCACACUGGGACUGAGACACGGCCCAGACUCCUACGGGAGGCAGCAGUGGGGAAUUUUCCGCAAUGGGCGAAAGCCUGACGGAGCAACGCCGCGUGAGGGAUGAAGGCCUCUGGGCUGUAAACCUCUUUUCUCAAGGAAGAAGAUCUGACGGUACUUGAGGAAUAAGCCACGGCUAAUUCCGUGCCAGCAGCCGCGGUAAUACGGGAGUGGCAAGCGUUAUCCGGAAUUAUUGGGCGUAAAGCGUCCGCAGGCGGCCUCGUAAGUCUGUCGUUAAAGCGUGGAGCUUAACUCCAUUUCAGCGAUGGAAACUGCGAGGCUAGAGUGUGGUAGGGGCAGAGGGAAUUCCCGGUGUAGCGGUGAAAUGCGUAGAUAUCGGGAAGAACACCAGUGGCGAAGGCGCUCUGCUGGGCCAUAACUGACGCUCAUGGACGAAAGCCAGGGGAGCGAAAGGGAUUAGAUACCCCUGUAGUCCUGGGCCGUAAACGAUGAACACUAGGUGUCGGGGGAAUCGACCCCCUCGGUGUCGUAGCCAACGCGUUAAGUG
rnacentral:rRNA from 1 species